rnacentral:rRNA from 1 species
GUGCCGUCAGGUGUCAGGGUAAGUCCUAUCUCGAGCGCACCCCCUGUGGUUGUUGCCAGCCAGAAUGUUGGGAACUCUAGCCAGCCGGCCGGGCGAUCCGAGAGAAAGGUGGGAUGGCGUCACGAUCAUGACGGCCCUUGCCGUCAUGGUCCACACACGUGCGUCAAUGGUAGGGUCAGAGAGCAGCCACUUCGCGAGAAGGAGCGAAAUCCUAUAAACCCUUUCCCAGUUCGGAUCGCAGUCUGCGGCUCGACUGCGUGAAGCUGGAAUCGCUAGUAGUCGCAUAUCAGCCAUGAUGCGGUGAGUACGUUCCCGGGCCUUGUACGGCGCCGCCCGUCAAGCCAUGGAAAAAGCUGGGGGUACCUGAAGUCCGUCGCCGCAAGGAGCGGCCUAGGGUUAAACUGGUAACUAGGGCUAAGUCGUAACAAGGUAGCCGUACCGGAAGGUGCGGCUGGAACACCUCCUUGUAGACUGCAGAAGAUCGAAUUCCCGCGGCCGCCAUAGCAGUCUGGAGCAUGCGCCUCGGGUUCCCUUCAAACCUCGUGUGGUCCGAAAACCCCCCCCA